AGAAUAAUCAAUUUCAAUGGAAUUUUGAAGAUUUUCUAUUGACUCGGGACGAAGUGGAGACACGGUCAAGUCUCAGCGCUACUUAAACUCGUAAUCUGACCCAUCCUCUACAUGCAUAGAUCUACUUGUCGUGUAUAAAGCUAAAAUACCUAUGUGCUCGUUAUGUAUACACAUAAUCCAGCCAACGUAACUCGUGGUUUAUGUUGUACCUCGAGUGCAUCGUUACCUACUCCGCUUCAGCGAUAAUUUAAUUGUCCGUUGAUGCCAGCGGCGACGUCAUUUUCACAAAGUUUGACCUAACUUUUGGACCUGGUGAUUUGUGGAAUUUAAUUCAACUUAAUAAAUGCAAUUUGCGCAUUUCGUUUAUCUCGAAGAUCGAAUAAUGCUCGUAAUGAGUCAUACCAAACAUUGGUGUGAAAUUUAUUACUGGGACGUUGAACGUGCAUAAAUCAACUAAGAAAUGUAAACAUACGGUAUGCUAAGUAUUAGCACUCUUUUCAUCGGUUCUCGACCUUUGAACAAUUGCUACAAAGAUACGAGAUAACCGUUUCGAGCUUCCACACGUACGAAUGUUAUAAAUUUCGCCUAUGAUCCAUUUAAAUGUUUAAUGGAAACAAAUGCGGCAGGACGUGAUUUCUGGACAAAAGGAUUAAGUUACGUAUUAUUAAUAGGUCAGUGGCUGUUUCGAUAAAUCUGGUGGAAACGUGUGGAUUGUUCAGGUACGUAUUAUAUUUUAAAUUAAUCUCGUAGGCGAGGUAUGCACUUGCAAAAUUCAAUUUAACAAACGUACUGCGAACUUACUGUUUGAGGUAAACUUUUACCCUCCAAAGAAGGAGUAUACCAAGGAAAUUACAUCUUAGAGGGAGGAGUUUAUAGUAUCUUGAAAUAUUAAAAUAUCUUCUGGUGAGAAACAGCCGUGGGUGUUCAUGACUUUCCUCCCGCUAACUCUUUAUUACACCUUCAUGUUUAUUCGAAGUGAAAUAAGGUUAUGUACCGAAGGAAAACUAGAAGAAAAAUAUCAGAGAGUAAGUGAUGAGGCGAGACACCAUACCUACAAGCAUUCCCCUUGACUGCACACAUCCGAGAUGUGUAUCUGGAAGAGGGAGAACCAGGAAGAGUCGACCAUUACUGGAGGGUGAGAGUUAGGGAGAGACAAGGCGGUGGUAGGAUUAAAGGGGUCAACGGAGAGAAAGAGACGGGGAGUGUAUGGAGGGUGAAGGAAACAGAGAGCGAUGCACGCGUGUAGGGACAACAAUGUGCCAGAAGAUAGUGCAAUAGUUGGCACAGAUACAGGCACAGAUUUAACCCUAAACUCGUGACACGGACAGUGUGUGCAUGGAAUCACGUGGAAAUGUAUUCAAACGUUGCUAUGGGGAUUUCGCUGCCACCCUAAACACACCGAUAACCCAUCAAUUUCAGCGAAAUCGGACGAGCUGGCAAACUGUAAUAUCCGAUCAUGUUUCUGUCCUAUUAAUCCAUUCUUCUUCUCCAAUUUUAUCGCAUCGUGAAUAAUAGUCCGAUAUUAUCGUAGUUCAAAUAUCAUGCUCAUGCGGAAAGGUAAUUGUUAUACGAAUUCGUAUUCGAUUAAAAUUUUUAUCUCCGCCAAUUUUUCUAUCGUAUCGGGUUACGAAACUUAUAAAGAAGGGAAAUUCGAGAGAGAAUUGAUCGUAAAAAAUUGUUCUUCUUUGCUUCUUGGUGAAAGGAUGAGAAUUGUGUCAAAAGUUGUUUUUAUCGGGAGCUGUCUCAAUUGGCAAACUGAUGAAAAAUUCAUCUAUUUAUUGGCGAUGGUAUAAAACGUGUUAUAGCAAUAUUUUGGCAACAUCCGUCAAACGGGCAGAUUUUAAUCUUCGCGAUUUCGUGUUUUCGAAGGAUUAUUAAAAGACUGGAUGGAUUAAUUCAAUUCUUGGCUGGGAUUAACAACUAAUAGGGGACGGGAUGUGAAGGGUUCACAGUUAAAUGCUAAAUCAGCGAAAAGAUAGGGUUCAGACGAUUCGAGAAGAAUGUUUUAUGGCAAAGGUCCAAAUGAUGUUUGUUAGCUCGACAAGGAAUUGUUAAUGAAUUUCUAGUGGGUGUAUCGGAAAAUGUUAUUUGAAAUUGGCGUAACUCCUUUCUUUCCCUUGCUCCUUUUACGAUUUAUUAAUAAUCAAUAACCAUCGAUUUUCU